GCAUACGAACCUGUUUAUAAAGUCGAGCACUUCGAAAGUUUUAACAUCGGAAAAGGUUCGACCGAAUUUCCAGAGUCAGUUCUUCACUACUUCGAAAGUUUGAACAUCGGCAAAGUUCAACAGAAUUUCCAGACCCCAUGGAUUUCUUGGCAGACAGCUUGGUGAUUAUUUCUGAUGAUGAGAUUCCCGAAACAACCACUCAGGACCUUUUGAAUCUGAGUUCCACACAAUUUGAGGGAAACGUGUCUAACAGUGAUUACGACGGAGAUAUUUCAGAUACGAGUGCUACAAUAGAAGACCAAGAGGAAAUCAUCUCGGAAACCGACAUUCAACAAGACAUCGAACUACAACAGAUCUGCGCAGUGUGGCGGCCGGGUUUUUUUUUCGAUGCAGAAAAAGGAACCGUUUUGCUUUUCAAGUUUUCGGUCCCGGGACACAUCCACUGGAGCCGUGCUACAGAGAACGUAACUUUUAACAAAGGUGACUGGAAAAAGUUCAGAAAAUGGUGCAAGGAUUUUGACUACAUUGUUAGAAUGGAUUUCUUUUCCCCGGAUGCGUACAGACGUAAAUGGAACAGUACGUCUCUUCAAUGCAAAUACUGUAUCAGAGCAACAAAUUUCUCCAAGAACCAAGUUUCACUGCACUGUGCUGCUGUAUUAACCGGUGACAACGCCCCUGAUAACAAAGAGAAUUGUGAAGUGAGGUAUGACCGAACCAGCUGGCACGAUCUGCAACGCUACUUCCGG
ensembl:lncRNA